UAGAUAUAAUUUGAUUCCUUUAGGAGUUUUAUGUAAAUAGACUAAAACAAAAGGAAAAACAUUUUUCUUGGCUCCGGUGAACACCUGCAUCCUGACAUCUAAAAUUGGCCACUGCAAGCAAAUCUGUUUCAAUGUUCCGCCUCGGGUGUGCUGCUGCGAGUGACAAUAGCCAUCUCCAGGAAGUUGUUGUUUUAAGGAGAUUUUCCUUGUAAACGACAAAGACUCUGGAAGGUAUUUAACAGCUCUCCAGGAGCAACGUGAAGCAGCCACAUCCUCACCUUACGAAAGAACUGGACAUGAGUCCGAUGAAGCCCACGGCAGCGCCCACGACGGCUGUUUUCCGGCAGCCGAACAUGUCCGUGAAGACGCUGACUAUGGGGCAGCAGAAGAAGAUCAUGCCCAUGGACAGCGAGCCUACCCACGCUGCAAAAGAAGAGAGAGCGUCACAAGUCGAACACUGCACUCCCCUCCCCGCAUUCCGUCUGGAAAGUGGCUAACCCACGGCGAGGAAAAGCCCUGACGCACACGGACAACCAGCGGGAACGCUGUAACAAGAUGGCAAGAGUCUGAACACCUCAAGUGCUUGGCCAGUAGUGAUUCGUACAGCAAUGGAAUAAAGAAGACUGUAAUCCUAAAACACUGUGUGUGCUGGGACCAAACCGGUCCUCUGAGAGAGCACAGAGCAUCUCCCCAGCCUGCUGCCUUAUUUUUUCAGCACCAACAUCAGCACUAUGCUGAAGAGAACAUCUCCAGCGAAUACAAAGAGCAACAUGGACCCACAUUAACUAAACAGGACGACACCACAGGAUAGUCUGCCAGACAGUCAGGGUACCUGCUCUAUUCAAACCGGAGCCUAAACCAAGAAAAACAUCUGCUAAGGAUGAGCGCAGAACGAACACUGGCGGAGGGUCUGGAGGAGGGAGACGGCUGACUGGAGAGCAGGUAUUGGCAUCAUCGGAGAGGGUGAGAGCGGAGCUGAAGGGACAGAAGACUCAGUCUGCAGAUAGCACGAGAGAGGGAGCUCUGUGGAAACUCGAGGACAACUUCUCAAAGCUGUUUUUACUAAGUAGUUUGUGAAUGCUAAUUUUUAGGACUCUACUAAUUGGAUUACCCAUACAUACAUUCUCUCUGAGUCAUUUUUUUUUUUUUGAAAUUUCCAUCAUCCUUAAGUAAAAUAAAUGUUGAUUUAAUGUUGUAAGCCACACAUAAUGCUGAUUCAGCAUUCCAUAUAUGUGCUUUAAAGUUUUAGUCUGGUGCAUACUGUGGUAUUUUUACAGUACAUAUUUGAAUUUUUCAUGGUUUUUCUGGAGCAAAAAUCUGUGAUUUUUACCUAGAUUUUAUGUGAUUUUAAUGAAACAUGGGUAAUCAUGGCCACCUGCUAAUUAUUUAUGGUUUAAAAUAAAAGGUAUUUGCUAGGCA